UUCUGGUAGACAGGAGUGGAAAAUAGAUCUAUCUAUUCAUCCUUUGGCUUAAGAUCUGGACUGGCCACAUUUAUCUGUAUGUGUCUUAGACACAGUGCCCUGUACAGAGAUACACAAGGUAGAUCACGGUCUACAAAAAGAACAAUGACUGCAGAACCUAGAGGAAGUUAUUCCAUCUUUGAGCCUGUUCCUAAACCUGGGGCAUCUGAUAACUGCAUACAAGGGAGUGUCAUCGCUGGGGUCCCGUUGAGCUCCAAGCCUCGCUGACUCUUCUGCCACAAGCACAUCUUGUAGGAUCCUUUGGGUUUGUUCUGCAUUACAACAAGAUGAUUGUCUCAUUUCUGACACUGGUGUAAGGCUGAUUGCUGCUGCCACUCCUCUUUUCUUCUCUAAGUUCCUGCUGCAUGCCUGCAGUGUGCUGGGACGCUUCCUGCCGUGAUGGACUCUCAACCUCUGGAGCCAUAAGUCAAAUAAGCCAUCUCUUCUACAGGCUGACUGCAACAUGGUGUUUUAUCACAGCAACAGAUAAGUCGUUGAAGCCCUCAUAUGAGCCUGACCCCAGGCUUGCCCAUUGCAGACAUUUGACUUGUGUACUAUUACCUGUACUAAACCCCUUGGGAGGAGAGGCUGAUACCCUUGAGGUGAGCUAUAGGAAAGAUGGAUUGGGGGCUGUCCUCCUGGCUGUUUGCUCAUAUGCUUACACCUGAAUUGUGCUUCCAGUCCCACUCCUCAUUCAUACUAGAUAGAGUAUUCUACCUCCCUCAGAGAGCUCUGCCUGAGAGCUGCUCACUCAGUCCCACUAGAAUGUGUUUACCAGUGUGCCUGUGAAUGGCAGCAGCUAGCCCCUUUUGUAUUGUGGGAACUGCAAAGUCUCUCUGGUGUUAAUAUGCACUGAGGCUACCCACAGGCCGAGAAAGAAAGAAGGCGGAUUUCACAACCGCUCAUCGUAAAGCAGCCCCAUUCUAGGCCAGCAAGGGCGAGCCCCUUAGAGCAAGAUGAGUCACCCAGCUCUGGGGGAGGUGGACUUGAGACUUCGAAGAUAACUUGUUUAACAGUCCAGAAUUAGCACUAGGGAACGUCCCUUACACAAUCAGGCUAAAACUCAAAUUCUGACAUUCAAGUGCCAAGGGAACAUGAACUUUUUAAAAAUUUUAGUUUUUAAAACUCAAGUUAGAAACCAGCUCUCCAAUGCUGAGCAUGCUUACACAAACCUCUAAUCCCAGCCCUGGGGAGGCUGAGCCAGGAGGAUCAUGAAUUUGAGGAUAGCUUGGGCUAUUAUUUUGUUUCACAAAAUAAAAACAAAAAUCGCUCUCCACUUCCAUUUUGAUUGUGUCAUUGCUAUUAUCUUUCCUUUGCAACUUUUUGAUUUUUAAGUCUUUUUAGAGUCCCAUAGAACUUUCAAAAAAAAGCAUGGAGAAUUCCCAUGUAGGCUUUUCUCAACUUUUCUUAAUAAGAACAUUGUUUAUAACCUUAACUGAUUAAAACCAGGAAAUGGAUGUUGGCACAACACUGAACUACAGAUGUUAUUCGUAUCCCCUUGGUCUUUAUGGUGCUCAUUAUGAUUCGUUUGUAGUUCUAUCAGGUGUGCAAUUUGUGCGACUAAAGAUCCAGUAAACAUCUCAACUGAA